CACGUAGGCGGGAAUUUAAGUCAGAUGUGAAAGACCGGGGCUCAACUCCGGGGUGGCAUUUGAAACUGAAUUUCUUGAGGGCAGGAGAGGAAAGCAGAAUUCCUGGUGUAGCGGUGAAAUGCGUAGAAAUCAGGAGGAAUACCAGUGGCGAAGGCGGCUUUCUGGACUGACCCUGACGCUGAGGUGCGAAAGCGUGGGUAGCAAACAG
rnacentral:rRNA from 1 species